AGUGGAAGCUGCAGAGUCAACCAUGUAGACAAAUGAGAAAAUAUCUUUUGUCUGCAAAAGGCAGCAAUCCUACAUAAACAUGGAGGUCUCUGUCUGACUUAGGACAGCGGGCUAAGUCUGAUCGUUCCCCUCCAUACAAC
ensembl:scaRNA small Cajal body-specific RNA 3A